rnacentral:rRNA from 1 species
GGUUGAUCCUGCCAGUAGUCAUAUGCUUGUCUCAAAGAUUAAGCCAUGCAUGUCUAAGUAUAAGCAAUUAUACAGCGAAACUGCGAAUGGCUCAUUAUAUAAGUUAUCGUUUAUUUGAUAGUGCCUUACUACUUGGAUAACCGUGGUAAUUCUAGAGCUAAUACAUGCUACAAGCCCUGACUUCGGAAGGGGCGUAUUUAUUAGAUUAAAAACCAAUGCCCUCUGGGCUCCUUGGUGAAUCAUGAUAACUUCACGAAUCGCACGGCCUUGCGCCGGCGAUGGCUCAUUCAAAU